rnacentral:rRNA from 1 species
GACGAACGCUGGCGGCGUGCUUAACACAUGCAAGUCGAACGGAAAGGCCCUGCUUUUGUGGGGUGCUCGAGUGGCGAACGGGUGAGUAACACGUGAGUAACCUGCCCUUGACUUUGGGAUAACUUCAGGAAACUGGGGCUAAUACCGGAUAGGAGCUCCUGCUGCAUGGUGGGGGUUGGAAAGUUUCGGCGGUUGGGGAUGGACUCGCGGCUUAUCAGCUUGUUGGUGGGGUAGUGGCUUACCAAGGCUUUGACGGGUAGACGGCCUGAGAGGGUGACCGGCCACAUUGGGACUGAGAUACGGCCCAGACUCCUACGGGAGGCAGCAGUGGGGAAUAUUGCACAAUGGGCGGAAGCCUGAUGCAGCAACGCCGCGUGCGGGAUGACGGCCUUCGGGUUGUAAACCGCUUUCGCCUGUGACGAAGCGUGAGUGACGGUAAUGGGUAAAGAAGCACCGGCUAACUACGG